UCCUACGGGAGGCAGCAGUGGGGAAUUUUGCGCAAUGGGCGAAAGCCUGACGCAGCAACGCCGCGUGCGGGAUGAAGGCCUUCGGGUUGUAAACCGCUUUCAGCAGGGAUGAAACUGACAGUACCUGCAGAAGAAGCCCCGGCUAACUACGUGCCAGCAGCCGCGGUAA
rnacentral:rRNA from 1 species